UACGGAGGGUGCGAGCGUUGUCCGGAAUCACUGGGCGUAAAGGGCGCGUAGGCGGCCUGAUAAGUAGGGGGUGAAAUCCUGCGGCUUAACCGCAGGGCUGCCUUCUAAACUGUCAGGCUCGAGCACAGUAGAGGCAGGUGGAAUUCCCGGUGUAGCGGUGGAAUGCGUAGAGAUCGGGAAGAACAUCGGUGGCGAAAGCGCUCUACUGGGCCAUAACUGACACUCAGGGACGAAAGCUAGGGGAGCGAAUGGG
rnacentral:rRNA from 1 species